UACGUAGGGGGCAAGCGUUGUCCGGAUUUAUUGGGCGUAAAGAGCGUGUAGGCGGCUUUACAGGUCCGUUGUGAAAACUCGAGGCUCAACCUCGAGACGCCGGUGGAAACCGUAAAGCUAGAGUCCGGAAGAGGAGAGUGGAAUUCCUGGUGUAGCGGUGAAAUGCGCAGAUAUCAGGAAGAACACCCGUGGCGAAGGCGGCUCUCUGGGACGGUACUGACGCUGAGGAGCGAAAGCCAGGGGAGCAAACGGG
rnacentral:rRNA from 1 species